rnacentral:rRNA from 1 species
UACGGGGGGAGCAAGCGUUGUUCGGAUUUACUGGGCGUAAAGGGCGCGUAGGCGGUCGUGACAAGUCACUUGUGAAAUCUCCGGGCCUAACUCGGAACGGUCAAGUGAUACUGUCGGACUAGAGUACAGAAGGGGCAACUGGAAUUCUCGGUGUAGCGGUGAAAUGCGUAGAUAUCGAGAGGAACACCUGCGGCGAAGGCGGGUUGCUGGGCUGAUACUGACGCUGAGGCGCGAAAGCCAGGGGAGCGAACGGG